AGAAAAAAAAAAACCGCUGGGCUGACGCUGAGGAGGUGUGAUGCAGACAGGAGCCCCAGAGAGAUACGCGACGGAGAACGGGAAAAUACCGGACUAUAUUCAGGGAGAACUGUAUCUCGGCUGGCCGCAGGGAGGAAAAAGGAGAGCAGACUUACCCAUAUAUGGCUGUCUAGAUCCCGGAUCGCCGCAACAAGUCGGAGGGAGAGCAGCCGUGCACACGCCAUACAGUCGAAGUAGAGAGGAGGUAGGCGGGCUGGAGCAAUAGGGGGAGGCACCAUCAGAUCUGACCCGUCAGGAAGGGAUAGGAUCAGCCCAACUAUUGCCGCCCAGCAGGAGGAGUUGGGGGAGGAUCAGCCGAUGUCAUCGUCAUCCCCUCCUACAGUAUAUAAACCUUGCCAAGUUGUCAGCAGCCAGAUUCAUUGCCCAGAGCCCGGCUCCCAACAACAAGAAAGAACAAACUGAACAGCCUAUGGAGCAGCAAAAGAUUACACUGCCAGAGUCUGUCCAGGCAGUGCUACUGUGCAGGCGUACUGAAAGGGAAUCAUCAGGAGAGGGGGGAUCUCUUUGCACUCCCAUGGCUUGUUUGAUAGGAAAGAGCCUCUAACUCCACCUUACUGUAGCUAAGAUUUUGGAAGCUUCAUAAAUUAGAGAAGACUGCCGUUUCCAUACAGGACUGGGAGAGCAGUAUCCAGCGUAAGGAAGAACCUGCAACGAAGAAAUAGAAGGUGUAAAAGGUAACGCCGUGAUAUGAGGAAAGCCUAAGAAAAGUUUUGAAAGCCAUGGAUAUGCUCUCUGAACACAGAAUGUAGAAUUUUGUCUCUCUGCAAACUAUUUAAACAGUAAUAAAGAAAAUAGCCUGAAUGUAAUUUUAUUUGCAUAGACUAAUGACUUAAUGGUGUUAAUGCAUUAAAUCUCUACCAGAAAGCGAUAACAUUAUAUUUGGAAACUCUCCAAUAUAUGCAAAAGAUUGAUGACUUUUAAAGUAAAGUUGCAACACUAACUCUAAAUCACUUAUCUGCAACUAAGGAUAAAUCGUAAAAAAUGAACAUGAAUAUAUUUUAUUACAUUCAUCUUUCUUUUAUAAUUUAGGAAUGUGUGUAGGAGAAACUAAUAGAGACUAACAUAAUGUUCUACAAAACAGUGGAUAUUUUCUUUUGUAGACUUUUUUCAU